GAUGAACGCUGGCGGCGUGCCUAAUACAUGCAAGUCGAGCGAACAGACGAGGAGCUUGCUCCUCUGACGUUAGCGGCGGACGGGUGAGUAACACGUAGAUAACCUACCUAUAAGACUGGGAUAACUUCGGGAAACCGGAGCUAAUACCGGAUAAUAUAUUGAACCGCAUGGUUCAAUAGUGAAAGACGGUUUUGCUGUCACUUAUAGAUGGAUCCGCGCCGCAUUAGCUAGUUGGUAAGGUAACGGCUUACCAAGGCAACGAUGCGUAGCCGACCUGAGAGGGUGAUCGGCCACACUGGAACUGAGACACGGUCCAGACUCCUACGGGAGGCAGCAGUAGGGAAUCUUCCGCAAUGGGCGAAAGCCUGACGGAGCAACGCCGCGUGAGUGAUGAAGGUCUUCGGAUCGUAAAACUCUGUUAUUAGGGAAGAACAAAUGUGUAAGUAACUAUGCACGUCUUGACGGUACCUAAUCAGAAAGUCACGGCUAACUACGUG
rnacentral:rRNA from 1 species